UUCCUCCACAUUCUAUUGGUCACCCAGAGCCAGCCCUGAUUCAAUGUGCAAGGGAACUAACACGGACAUGAAUACCAGGAGGCAGGAAUCAUCACAGGCUCUCUUGCGUACUGGUUACCACAUACAGACAUUGGGACUUGAAUCCAGGCCUCUCUGAUGUCAAAGUCCUUGUACCUCACUGUGCUGCCCUCGCCAAGCAGCCUCUUGCAUCUGUGGAUCCCUCUAGUUGUAAUGUCACCUUCAGCCUGCAACAGUACAGAAUGGAUAAAGUAGUGAUAUUAAGCAUGUUGUAAGAGAAGCAGAGAAGCCUAGGCUCCUUGAGCAUGGUUAUAAAAUGGGGACCAGUGAGCAGAGGAUGGGCUCAAGAAGAAGAAUUCAGAGGAGCUUGGUUAACUUCCCCCAACUGGACAUUCUGUUUUUUUGCUGUCCCUGGCAUCAGCUAUCAGAAAGUCUCUAUGGCUAUGCCUGUUUGGUCUGGGAAAGAAUACGGGGAAUGUCCAGUUCCCACGGCAGCAACUGCUGGUUUCCAUGACUGUUCCCUAAGAGAGGCAGAAAAGCGGGGGAACUAAGUAAGCUUCACUGUGCGGUUAAUCGCAGGGCCACAGCCCAGGUCCCUCUGACAUCUGAAUAGAAUGACUGAGGCAUAAAUCCCAAUCAUCGAGGUUUAUUAAGUCAGCUUUAGGGUGCUUCCAGGAAAUAUACAAGCCACAGGUACAUCUGUGGCUGUUUUUCUCAAGUGUUUCAGGGGAUUUAGUAUUUACACAUUUCCUUAAAUGGGGGAAAGGCAUUUAGGAAAAAGUGCAGAUAGGUGGUAAGGUGAAUGGCUACAUUCCUGCGAGACUCUAGCUACUGCCUGGUACAUCUACAUUUUACAUAAGACAAAUUGGAUGUUUGAAAAUAAAAAGAGAGUAAAGGAAGAGUCAAGUAUGCAGAUGUCUCUGGGUAGGUAGAGGAAUGAAUCUUGUCUUUAUUCAGCACCUGCACUCCUAUCUAAGCUUGCAAUCAACAUUAUCAGCAUGGAAUCAAACAGACUUUAAUUUUAGGAGUUAGGCUGGGCACGGUGGCUCAUGCCUGUAAUCCCAGCACUUUGGGAGGCCAAGGCGGGCAGAUCACUUGAGGUCAGGAAUUCAAGACCAGCCUGGACAACAUGGUGAAACUCCGUCUCUACUAAAAAUACAAAAAUUAAGGCCAGGCGUGGUGUCUUAUGCCUGUAAUCCCAACACUUUGGGAGGUCAAGGCAAGUGGAUUACUUAAGGUCGGCAGUUCGAGACCAGCCUGACCAACAUGGUGAAACCCUGUCUCUACUAAAAAUACAAAAAUUAGCCAGGUGUGGUGGCGCAUGCUUGUCCCAGCUGCUCAGGAGGCUCAGACAGGAUAAUCGCUUGAACCUGGGAGGUGGAGGUUGCAGUGAGCUGAGAUCUUGCCAUUGCACUCCAGCCAGGGCAACAAGAAUGAAAUUCCUUCUUAAAAAAAAAAAAAAAAAAAAAUAGCCAGGCGUGGUGGCACGCACCUGUAAUCCCAGCUACUUGGAAGGCUGAGGCAGGAGAAUCGCAUGAACCCGGGGGGCAGAGGUUGCAGUGAGCCCAGAUCGCAUCACUGCACUCCAGCCUGGGCGACAGAGUGAGAGUUAGUCUCAAACAAACAAACAAACAACAACAACAACAAAAAUUUAGGAGCUAGACUUAGUUUGCAGACCUCAAGUUACAAUUGGCAUGUCCCUGUGUUGCCAAAAAAAAAAGGGGGGGUCCCAAUCCAGACCCUAAGAGAGAGUUCUUAGAUCUCUCUCGUGCAGGAGGGAAUUCCAGGCGAGUCGCAGAGCUCAGUGGGGAGGGAAGGCUUAUUGAAGGCUACUCAAAUUCAGGAUAGGGUGUCCUCAGAAAGCAAGUGGAGGAAUGCCUCGUCUUUACAUUUUUCUUAUUAGGAGUCUAGUCUGUGAAGAGACUAAGCUAAGCUGUGUCUACCUGUGGGUGGGUUGGAAGCAUGACUACAUUUAUUAUUCUGUUGAUUUAGAGAAAACUACUGGUGGCUCAUGCCUGUAAUCCAGCAUUGGGAGGCCAACGUGGGAGGAUUGCUUGAGCCCAGGAAUUCAACAUCAGCCUGGGCAACAUAGCAAGACCUUGUCUCUAUUUUUAAAAUAAAAUUUGUUCUAUAAAAAAAUUAAAAAGAAAAAGAAAACUAUUGGCUGGGCGUGGUGACUCAUUCUUGUAAUCUCAGCACUUUGGGAGGCUGGCCAG
ensembl:lincRNA